AAUCUAUAUAACUUGAAAGCAACUUAUCCAAUCACGAACACACUCACAAAACAAAUCCAACUAGUUUUUAUUCUUUUUUUAUUUCCCGCCAGUCAGCUGAAAAAAAUAAAAGAAUCUCUAGUUCAGUUUUCCACAUAAUUAAAACAAGAAGAAACUCUCAAGCCGCCUUAACUUACACAGCGGGCCCCAUGCCUGGCGCUGGGAGGAAUGGCGAGGCUGUCCUGUCCCUAGGGCAGAGGGCUUGCGGGGCUGAGCACCUGAGCACAAGUACUUCGUGGUCAAGAGUGUUCCACAUUGCUGACAUUCAGCUCAGCCUCAGAAGCACCCUUGACAACUACCGAUGGCCACAGCCAAAUGGUUACCUGUAAAGUGGCCACUGCACCGUUUUCAGACAUGUAUUUUGUCACAGUGACAGAAAGCUGAGCAUCACAAACACAAGGAAGAAGGUCAUGGUAAAUGCAAGCAGAGACUGGAGUGAAGCAGCUAUAAGCCAUGAAUGCUGGGGAGCGUUGGAGCCACCAGAAGCUAUGAAGAGCCAAGGAAGGCUUACUUCUUCCUAGAGUUUUUACCUGGAGUAUAGCCCUACUGCUACCUUGAUUUCAGACUUUUAGCCACCAAAUAAGUGAUGGAAUAAAUUUCUGCUGUUUUAAACCAUUUAGUUUGUGGGAAUUUGUCAUAGCAGCUCCAGGAAAUGAAUAUAUGCAAAACCACCCAUUGAUUACCUAUUGUAUUUUAGGAUUAAUAAACAAGGCUG
rnacentral:lncRNA from 1 species